GGUCCGGUAGUUCAGUUGGUUAGAAUGCUGCCCUGUCACGGCAGAGGUCGCGGGUUCGAGUCCCGUCCGGACCGCCU
rnacentral:tRNA from 1 species